rnacentral:snoRNA from 9 species
CGACGACGACGAUAAAUUUAAGGCUUGUUUCUCAAAACAUUCGUAGAUGCCGCCUAAGAGCUUUCGCCCAGCCAGGCUAGAGAGCUGUGUGUUGGCUUGGGCUGAAGUCA